rnacentral:rRNA from 1 species
AAUGGGUCAGCGACUUAUAUUCUGUAGCAAGGUUAACCGAAUAGGGGAGCCGAAGGGAAACCGAGUCUUAACUGGGCGUUAAGUUGCAGGGUAUAGACCCGAAACCCGGUGAUCUAGCCAUGGGCAGGUUGAAGGUUGGGUAACACUAACUGGAGGACCGAACCGACUAAUGUUGAAAAAUUAGCGGAUGACUUGUGGCUGGGGGUGAAAGGCCAAUCAAACCGGGAGAUAGCUGGUUCUCCCCGAAAGCUAUUUAGGUAGCGCCUCGUGAAUUCAUCUCCGGGGGUAGAGCACUGUUUCGGCAAGGGGGUCAUCCCGACUUACCAACCCGAUGCAAACUGCGAAUACCGGAGAAUGUUAUCACGGGAGACACACGGCGGGUGCUAACGUCCGUCGUGAAGAGGGAAACAACCCAGACCGCCAGCUAAGGUCCCAAAGUCAUGGUUAAGUGGGAAACGAUGUGGGAAGGCCCAGACAGCCAGGAUGUUGGCUUAGAAGCAGCCAUCAUUUAAAGAAAGCGUAAUAGCUCACUGGUCGAGUCGGCCUGCGCGGAAGAUGUAACGGGGCUAAACCAUGCACCGA